rnacentral:lncRNA from 1 species
GAAUUCAUAUCUAGCUUAACAUACUAGCUGUGAGAACCUGGAUAAGUCACUAUAUCCUAUUUGCCUAAAAAACAAAACAAAACAAAACAAAAAAAACCUCUUGUAUCAUUGCCUUGUCAUGGGAGAAAGUAUAGCUCAGUGAAACCAUAAGCCAUUUUGUGUAGGAUUGAUUGCCUCAGGCAAAGAGAUAACAAUGAACUGCCACCAAUAUGUAUAUGUAUAUAUAUAUAUAUAUAUACAUUUUCACUUUUUAAAAAACUCUGCCGUUUUGUAUUUAAUACCUUCCUCGUCUGUAAUGUGAUUGGCCGUGUGUGUGUGUGCGUGUGUGCGUGCGUGCUUCUGUGUGUGUACAUACAUCGUGUGUGGUUGGGGGGUUGGGCACAAUUCUGGACUGGACUUCUGAGCUCUGCCUUGCCCUCCGCCCCAACGUCAAGUCUGGCUGCAUCUUAGAUCACGGUGACUCGGCCUGGAUGAGCACUCCCCCUUCAUUGUCGCUUAGGGCUCUGGCCCCUUGGACUUUCUGAUGGAGCAGCCAAGCUCAGCCCGUUUUCUGCACUGAAGCCAGCGGGCUGAUGACCGUUCUGUGGGGACAGAAGAACUCUCGAUGGAUGGCCAGGUUGUGCCGGGGCCCUUGGCUGGACUCUGGUCUGCCGGCCUCCUCCUUCCCCCUCCCCGGCAGCAACAGCGCCUGCUGAGAUCCUGCUCGAAAGAAGCAGAUACUCUAAGAAUGCCAACAGAUCCAGAAAAUGCCAACACAUUCUGCCACAUGGCUAGACCACUGUAGUCCAAAAUGGCAGCUGCCUCCAGUGCUCUUCAUCAGGGCUUGAUUUUCAGGAGAAUCACCAUUUCAGUAGCAGUAUGGACUCAUCUAAUUGAAAGGACAUUGAAUGUUCAGUCAGAUCUUGGUCCUAUUUCUAAUGCUGAAACUUUACUUUUAAAAAUUGGGAAUUUCAUUUAGCCUAGAGAGGCUCUAAGCUGAACCAAGGUAUCUGGGAUUUCUUAAGCAGUUGCCAUGCACUUAACAUUGGUCUAAUGUCAGAGGGUAAAAAGAAAAAUAAAUAACUUUUGAC